rnacentral:rRNA from 1 species
UUUUGGUGCGGUGCCUUCCAGUUCCCUAGAUGGGGACGCCAGAGAGGGUGAGAGCCCCGUACAGUUGGACACCAAGCCUUUGUAAAGCUCCUUCGACGAGUCGAGUAGUUUGGGAAUGCUGCUCAAAAUGGGAGGUAUAUUUCUUCUAAAGCUAAAUACCGGCCAGAGACCGAUAGCGCACAAGUAGAGUGAUCGAAAGAUGAAAAGCACUUUGAAAAGAGGGUUAAACAGCACGUGAAAUUGUUAAAAGGGAAGCGCUUGUGACCAGACUUGCGUCCGGUGAAUCACCCAGCUCUCGCGGCUGGGGCACUUCGCCGGCUCAGGCCAGCAUCAGCUCGCUGUCGGGGACAAAAGCUUCAGGAACGUAGCUCUCUUCGGGGAGUGUUAUAGCCUGUUGCAUAAUACCCUUCGGCGGGCUGAGGUACGCGCUCCGCAAGGAUGCUGGCAUAAUGGUCAUCAGCGACCCGUCU